rnacentral:rRNA from 1 species
GAUGAACGCUGGCGGCGUGCCUAAUACAUGCAAGUCGAGCGAACGGACGAGAAGCUUGCUUCUCUGAUGUUAGCGGCGGACGGGUGAGUAACACGUGGAUAACCUACCUAUAAGACUGGGAUAACUUCGGGAAACCGGAGCUAAUACCGGAUAAUAUUUUGAACCGCAUGGUUCAAAAGUGAAAGACGGUCUUGCUGUCACUUAUAGAUGGAUCCGCGCUGCAUUAGCUAGUUGGUAAGGUAACGGCUUACCAAGGCAACGAUGCGUAGCCGACCUGAGAGGGUGAUCGGCCACACGGUAGCUGCAACACGGACCAGGAUACUACGGGAGGCAGCAGUAGGGAAUGUUAGGCAAUGGGCGAAAGCCUUACAGAGCAAGGCCACGUGAGAGAUGAAGAUGUUCGGAGCGGAAACCUCUGUUAGUAGGGAAAAACAAAUGUGUAAGUAACUAUGCACGUCGGGACGGUAACUAGUAAGAAAGCAACGGCUAACUACGUG